rnacentral:rRNA from 1 species
AUUGAACGCUGGCGGCAUGCCUUACACAUGCAAGUCGAACGGCAGCACGGGAGCAAUCCUGGUGGCGAGUGGCGAACGGGUGAGUAAUAUAUCGGAACGUGCCCAGUCGUGGGGAUAACGUAGCGAAAGCUACGCUAAUACCGCAUACGAUCUAUGGAUGAAAGCGGGGGAUCGCAAGACCUCGCGCGAUUGGAGCGGCCGAUAUCAGAUUAGGUAGUUGGUGAGGCAAAGGCUCACCAAGCCGACGAUCUGUAGCUGGUCUGAGAGGACGACCAGCCACACUGGGACUGAGACACGGCCCCAGACUCCUACGGGAGGCAGCAGUGGGGAAUUUUUGGACAAUGGGCGCAAGCCUGAUCCAGCAAUGCCGCGUGCAGGAUG